UUACAGAAGCUGCUACAUGGUGGAAGAACCACAAGACACUACAAAAAUUGAUCAGGCAAACCUAUUAGUAAUAUUAUUAAACAUUAGAACAUGGGAGUACCGUCAGUUCAGUAGCAUAAACCUUGUGGAAUGAAAUGUCUUUCUCUGGAGUCAAAAGAAGGAAAAGUUAAAAGGAGAAUUCCCUUUAAGAAUAAAGCCAGAAUCCUAGAGCUGGAAGGGGCCUUGUGGACCAUAGAGUUGAAUCUUUUGCUCAGUGCAGGACUUGCAUUCCCAGGAGGUGGCUUUCCAACCUCUUCUAGAAGAUGACCAAAGAAGGAGACUCCAUCAUCGCUCUGGUAAGAACCUGAUGCCUAGAGAAAUGGAGAAAAUGAGAAAUGAAGGCUUGGUUUUCUUGAAGAAAGAGCAUACAGUACUCCUGUAUCACUGAUGCAAGUCCCUUGUAGCUGCUACAGGAUCCUUCAGAAGAGAUAUCAGAUAUCCAGAGAAACCUGGACUUCAGUUCAGGCUUGGUUUCUUACAAGGAAGAAGAAUUUGGCACCCCCCAAAAUUAUACUCAAUACCUAUUAAUCACCAGAACCCCAAACAACAAAACAUCUUUCUUCUCUGAAUUCAGUUCAUCCAUUCUUCACCAAGUUGGAAUUGUUGCCAGAGUUUUGGUCUAAGGUUUUUAAAACCCUCUUUGUCCUCCUAUAGACUCAACCUGUAUUAGCUCCUUUAGAGUUAGCUAUGGAGCCGAUGUUGUUAUCUCAGAUAGAUCAUCUGCAAGUAUCAUUCCCCACUACUACUCACUGACAGAUGUUUUCAGACAACAGCAGUGAGAGCUAACUCUAGAGGAGCUAGUACUGCACAUAAGAUAGUAAACCACUUCUGAAGCCUUUUAAUAGAUCUGAGCA